AACGAACGCUGGCGGCAGGCCUAACACAUGCAAGUCGAGCGGACCCUUCGGGGUUAGCGGCGGACGGGUGAGUAACGCGUGGGAACAUACCCCUUUCUACGGAAUAGCCUCGGGAAACUGGGAGUAAUACCGUAUACGUCCUUCGGGAGAAAGAUUUAUCGGUGAGGGAUUGGCCCGCGUUGGAUUAGGUAGUUGGUGGGGUAAUGGCCUACCAAGCCGACGAUCCAUAGCUGGUUUGAGAGGAUGAUCAGCCACACUGGGACUGAGACACGGCCCAGACUCCUACGGGAGGCAGCAGUGGGGAAUCUUAGACAAUGGGGGAAACCCUGAUCUAGCCAUGCCGCGUGAGCGAUGAAGGCCUUAGGGUUGUAAAGCUCUUUCAGUGGGGAAGAUAAUGACGGUACCCACAGAAGAAGCCCCGGCUAACUCCGUGCCAGCCGCCGCCGUAAUAC
rnacentral:rRNA from 1 species